GACGAACGCUGGCGGCGUGCCUAACACAUGCAAGUCGAACGGAACUUAUCGAAUGAAGUUUUCGGAUGGAUUUUGGUAAGUUUAGUGGCGGACGGGUGAGUAACGCGUGAGGAACCUGCCUCAAAGAGGGGGACAGCAGUUGGAAACGACUGCUAAUACCGCAUAAGCCCACAGCUCGGCAUCGAGCAGAGGGAAAAGGAGUGAUUCGCUUUGAGAUGGCCUCGCGUCCGAUUAGCUAGUUGGUGAGGUAACGGCCCACCAAGGCGACGAUCGGUAGCCGGACUGAGAGGUUGAACGGCCACAUUGGGACUGAGACACGGCCCAG
rnacentral:rRNA from 1 species